rnacentral:rRNA from 1 species
UUAGUGGCAUACNGGGUGCGUAACANCGUGAGCAACCCCUGCCUUGAAGUGGGGAAUAGCCGCGGGGAGAACCCGGAUUAAUACCGCAUGUGGUCUCUUUUCGCAUGAAAAGACGACUAAAGUUUGUAAUGACUCUUCAAGAGGGGCUCGCGGCCUAUCAGCUUGUUGGUGAGGUAAAGGCUCACCAAGGCAAAGACGGGUAGCUGGUCUGAGAGGAUGAUCAGCCACACUGGAACUGAGAUACGGUCCAGACACCUACGGGUGGCAGCAGUUUCGAAUCAUUCACAAUGGGGGAAACCCUGAUGGUGCAACGCCGCGUGGAGGAUGACGGCCUUCGGGUUGUAAACUCCUGUCACCAAGGAACAAACGGCAGGUUCAUAGCCUGUCCUGAGUUAACUUGGUGAGGAAGAGGUGGCUAACUCCGUGCCAGCAGCCGCGGUAAUACGGGAGACCUCGAGCGUUACUCGGAUUCACUGGGCGUAAAGAGUAUGUAGGCUGUUUGGUAUGUCAGGUGUGAAAGCCCGAAGCUCAACUUCGGAAUUGC